rnacentral:lncRNA from 8 species
AUGGAUGAGGAGCUUGCCAGUGCUGAUGCGUCCAUGAGUUUUCAGUGCCCAUCUCCCUCAGAGCUUGACAGAGGCUUCUUGGACCAGAGUUUGUCUGUGUCUGCUCUGUCACUGACAGGACAGUCCACAUCGGUGCUACCUCCAAAUAGAAUUGUUGUUGAGUACUAUGGUUCCAAACAAUCCCUCCUGGCCUCCCUGUGUCAGUCUCCCAAACCUGUGUCCCCCUCUCAAGCCAUGAACCUGAACUCUAAGGAGGCUACACAAACACCAGGCCUCACUAUACCUGUAGAGAGCAAGUCCUCUACUCCUGCUGAUCGGGUCCUCCUCCAGAAACCCAAACUAGCCUGCCCAUUGGAUCUAUCCUACAUUGAUCUGACUGCCUCGCAGGUUGCCUGGGAGGUCUCCCUAAUCAAACCUGAGACUAACAGUCCAAAACCGAUCCUUGAGUCAAGCACGUUGGAGACUACCUUGAGUCCCAAGUUCCAGUCUGCACCACCAUCCCUGGCUGAGAUCUCCCUGAUCUGGUCAGGCUCACCCCCACAUGGAAUUAACACAGAGGACAACCAGAGGUCCUGGAAGGAGGUCACUAUGGGUUCUAGUCUCAGUUCCAGCCUGAGCCAGACCUCAGGUUCAGCAGCUGAGGAUGAAUGGCAGAGACGCACAGCCAUCCCUACAGGUUUUGACAAGCAAAAGUGGGGAUGUGACAGUGCUGUACUGAAAAGUUGAGACCUUAAGGAGGAUAUUCAAGAUGCCUGUGAAUUUUAUUUUACAUUAACCUAUUAUAGUAAAUAAAGUUUUGUAUUGAUUUAAAUCGACAAUGCCUCUUGAGUAUUUAGGGAAUGACGCAAAUGCCAACAUUUAUGAUACUAUAGCACAAACGAGUACUAAAUCAAAUGUAUAUUGUAUGAGGUUUCCCACAUUUAGAACACUAAACAAAUCAUCUCUUCAGUUUGACGGAGGAUAGGGCGUUACAUUUUGUAUUUAAUGGAAACACUAUAUAGAAGGCUCUAGACUGUGGAUUUGGCUAUUUCAGCCACACCUGUUACGGACGUGUAAAAUUGAGUGCACAGCCAUGCAAUCUCCUCAGACAAACAUUGGCAGUAGAAGGGCCUUACUGAACCGCUCAGUGACUUUAAAUGUGAUAGGGUGCCACCUUUCGUCAAAUUUCUGCCCUGUUAAUACUGCCCUGGUCAACGAAGUGCUGUUAUUGUGAAGUAGAAACUUCCAGGCGCAACAAUGGCUCGGCCGUGAAGUGGUAAGCCAAAGGAGCUCACAGAACGGGACCGCUGAAGCGCGUAAAAAAUCUGUCCUUGGUUGCAACACUCACUAACAAGUUCCAAACUGCCUCUGGAAGCAAUGUCAGCACAAGAACUGUUCAUCGGGAGCUUCAUGAAAUUGGUUUCCAUGGCUGAGCAACCACACACAAGCCUAAGAUCCCCAUGCGCAAUGCCAAGCGUCAGCUAUAGUGGUGAAAAGCUCACCGCCAUUGGACUCUGGCGCAGUGGAACGCUGAAUCACGCUUCACCGUCUGACGGAUUAAUCUGGGUUUGGAGGAUGCCAGGAGAACGCUACCUGCAUCGUGCCAACUAAAGUUUGGAGGAAUAAUGGUCUGGAGCUGUUUUUCAUGGUUCGGGCUAGGCCCUUAGAUCCAGUGACGGAUAAUCUUAACACUACAGCAUACAAUAACGUUCUAGACGAUUCUGUGCAUCCAACUUCGUGGCAAAAGUUUGGGGAAGUAAAUUCCCUGUUUCAGCAUGACAACCUGUUCGAGGUCUGAACAAAAACACCUUUUGGGAUGAAUUGUAACCCAGGCCUAAUUGCCCAACCUCACUAAUGCUCGUGGCUGAAUGGAAGCAAGUCCCAACAUCUAGGAAGGCUUUCCAUUAGAAGAGUGGAAGGCUGUUAUAGCAGCAAAGAGGAGACCAACUUCAUAUUAAUGCCCAUGAUGUUUGACAAGCAGGUGUCCACAUUUUUGGACAUGUAGUGUAAAUGCACUGCAAAAUGUACAAACUCUCACUGGUUGCUAGAGUCGUCAGAACGGGGAAAACCUGGUCUGUCUCAUGUCCCUGUAUAGGAGAGAUGGGAUAAAUAAUUCAUUAAUUGCAAAUGAAUGUCAACAUUUUUAUCAAAGACUCAGUUGGGCAUAUCGCUCACCUGGUUGAGCUUCUUGAACUCUACAACCUGGAAGAAGAUGUGCUCCAGGAUGUGUUUGGCAUCCCUUUGGUCUUUAUCCAACUUCCCCGUCACCCCCAAGAUGUACCCACACUUCCUCACGUAGAACUCUAGAUUGUCGUCGGUGCCUGCAGGAAGAAUACAGAAAACACUUACCGUUAAUAAUGCUCGAUUCAAAUAUAACCUGGGGUUAACACUUACAUUUGUUGGAGAGCUGUGCCAAAUGCACUCUCAGAAGAGAAGGUUUCAUCCAGGUCAAGCAUGGGGGGAGGCAGGUCCCUGAAGACAGGCAGAAAGACCUGCUCAAAGCAACCCAUAGGAGAACACACACACAUUUUAGAAGGAUGGCAAAUUGAUCAUUUUCUACAAUGAUCAAGUGUGUAUUGUCACAUUUUAAUAAAUCCCAGUCAAUUAGCAAAAAGUGUUGUUGAAUACAGUCUAGUGCACAUGCCAUUCUCAGUUGAGUGUACAGAAUCCACAUCCAAUCUGUGAGACGGCUGAGCUAGACAGGAGCUGGGUGAGAUUGUGUAGAGCUGGAGAGGGGAAACCUACAGCAGGCUCUAGCUGGGGAAGGGGAGUCUCAAACUGAGGUGUGAUCAGCUGGAGGGGCUCAAGUUUGACAUCUGCUUGUAGGAACUGCAGUGGGACAAGUCAAACACAUUGGUGUCAACAAACACACCGUAAACAUGUAGGCAAAGCAGACAAAACAUCCUGUAGCCACCAACUAUGGCCUAGGGUAAUGAACUGAUGUCUGUCCAGUUUCUAAAGCAGUAUGUGUUUCCACCUGAUGACUUGGGGCAAAGUGUUUGACAGCUUGAGUAGACAUGUCAAACAGGGAGGUAAAGUCUCUUGUGUUUUCCUCUCCCUCUUGUAAGCAUACUCAUAGUCGCACAGACAGGCAGCCUGUGUCUGGUAGCAUGGUGUAAUGUGUUUGUACGUUUCGAUGUGGGAUUGGAUAGGGAUUAGCCAGUCAUGUAAUGUUCAAACUUGUUAUAGUGUUAAUGUUGUAGAAACAGUUAAUGAUUGUCAAUGCAGUUUCAAUUCAUUUAUUGUGUGCUGCUACAGUACAAGCUGAUCAGGACUAAAUCGCACAAGAAAAUGUUGAGAGACCAGUUUGGCUGGACUUGGAUGUUCACAGGGUACCUCACAUUUGAAGCAAACAUUUAUAUAUAUAUAGAGCACUGGACAAAAUAUUUAGAAUGUACUAUUGUUUUCUGUUGUAGGAUGCGCUCUUGGAGCCGAGAGACGAAGUGAGGAAGUGGUUUUGUGUGCCACUGGCCGGGUCGUAUGUAUGUGUAACUUGGUUGUGUUUCUAAAUAGGCUUACUUGUAUGUCAUUGCAAACCUCAAUUUUUGUAUUCAAGUGCUGUCCCCUAUGAUCUUUCCUCUAUGUGAUAUUCCUUCAGGUCUCUUGUUUGUAAGUAGGCUUACUUGUAAGUCAUUGCAAACCUCCAUUUUUGUAUUCACAUGCUGUCUCGCUCUGGAGCGCAGGAGGCGGCAUUCCCAUUCGUCCUCCCGGGAGAAGCGCCACUCUAGGGACCGCAGCGAAACGGAGAGGAAAUGAGAGCGAGAGAAACGGAGGAGACACACCAGUCUUUCACCCAGCAAUUCAACAGGAAUGGCGCUCCAAACACAGGUAACUAACUGCAUCCUACCAUCCUUCACAGUGCAUGACAUAAGUGGCCACUUAGGGCCCCACAGCCACUAUGAGGCCCCCAACCUUUUUUUAGGAAGUCAGUCAGGGUCUCAACUUACUGAUUGAAAGGAUAUCAAGCAGACCACCAUAGUCCCUGUGCCAAGAACACUAAGGUAACCUGCCUAAAUGACUACCGACCCGUAGCACUCACGCCUGUAGCCAUGAAGUGCUUUGAAAGGCUUGUCAUGAAUCACAUCAACACCAUUAUCCCAGAAACCCUAGACCCACCCCAAUUUGCAUACCGCCCCAACAGAUCCACAGAUGAUGCAAUCUCUAUUGCACUCCACACUGCCCUUUCCCACCUGGACAAAAGGAACACCUAUGUGAGAAUUCUAUCCAUUGACUACAGCUAAGCGUUCAACACCAUAGUGCCCUCAAAGCUCAUCACUAAGCUAAGGACCCUGGGACUAAACACCUCCCUCUGCAACUGGAUCCUGGACUUCCUGAUGGGCUGCCCCCAGGUGGUGCGGGUAGGCAACAACACAUCCGCCACACUGAUCCUCAACACAGGGGCUCCUCAGGGGUGCUUGCUCAGUCCUCUCUUGUACUCCCUGUUCACUCAUGACUGCAUGGCCAGGCAUGACUCCAACACCAUCAUUAAGUUUGCCGAUGAUCACCGACAACAACGAGACAGCCUAUAGGGAGGAGGUCAGAGACCUGGCCGUGUGGUUUCAGGACAACUCCCUCAACAUGAUCAAGACAAAGGAGAUGAUUGUGGACUACAGGUAAAAGAGGACCGAGCACGCCCCCAUUCUCAUCGAUGGGGCUGUAGUGGAGCAGGUUGAGAGCUUCAAGUUCCUUGGUGUCCACAUCACCAACAAACUAACUAACUUGGUCCAAGCACACCAAGACAGAUGUGAAGAGGGCACGACAAAACCCAUUCCCCCUCAGGAGACUGAAAAGAUUUGUCAUGGGUCCUCAGAUCCUCAAAAGGUUCUACAGCUGCACCAUUGAUGGCAUCCUGACCGGUUGCAUCACUGCCUGGUAUGACAACUGCUCGGCCUCCGACCGCAAGGCACUACAGAGGGUAGUGCGUACAGCCCAGUACAUCGCUGGGGCCAAGCUUCCUGCCAUCCAGGACCUCUAUACCAGGCGGUGUCAGAGGAAGGCCCUAGAAAUUGUCAAAGACUCCAGACACCCUAGUCAUAGACUGUUCUCUCUGCUACUGCAUGGAAAGCAGUACCGGAGCACCAAGUCUAGGUCCAAGAGGCUUCUAAACAGCUUCUACCCCCAAGCCAUAAGAUGCCUGAACAUCUAAUCAAAUGCCUACCCAGACUAUUUGCAUUGCCCCCCCCCCUCUUUUACACUGCUGCUACUGUUUAUUAUCUACACAUAGUCACUUUAAUAAAACUACCUACAUGUACAUAUUACCUCAAUUACCUCGACUAACCAGUGCCCAGGCACAUUGACUCUGUACCGGUACCCCCUGUAUGUAGCCUCGCUAUUGUUAUUUUACUGCUGCUCUUUAAUUAUUUGUUACUUUUAUUUAUUAUAUUUUAAUAGGUAUUUUUUCUUAACUGCACUGUUGUAUUCAACGCAUGUGACAAAUAAAAUUUGAUUUGAUAGUAGAAUAAACAAUAUGCAAUUUCAGAAUUUGGUUGUGCAUCAGCAGUUUUCCUCUUAUGUCAGUCACUGAUAGUCACUAAAUUAGCUCAUGUCAGCUAACAUUUUAUAGAUCGUUAGGCAAAUUAGUCUAGCCAGCUAUUUAAAUAAUAUGGCCGAAUUA